CCCCCGUACGAUCAGUGAAACGACACAUUUUUGGCUAUGCAUUAAUGUCGAAACUUUUCAGGCUAACUUUAUGUUUCUUUAUGGUAUAUUGUACAGUGUUAAUAUCUAACGCGGAUGAUUUUAUGCGCAAUAAUUCGCGCGUAGCAUAUACACACGCGUUUAUGUUACACGUACGUGCGUGUCAAAAAGUCAUAUUUGAACUUGACCAAACACAUUGAUACGUUAAAGAACUUUUAAAACGAUGAUCGAGUUAAAUCAAAAUCAUUAAAUUGUACCAAUUAUUGUAAUUCAAUUGCAAAUAUGAGAACAUCCUGAUUGGUGUGUUUAAAUGAUCCAAUUGUUGAAUAUAUUGUGGCCUUUCAACAGGCUGAAAGGGUCGGAAAAGUAUUCGUCCGAGAAAUGUCAAAAUGGCGUCUUCUCAGGACGCUUGGUAUCUCUCGUUGUUAGGUUUAGCUGAAAACUUUCGAACAUCGAGCCCACCGAAUAUUAAAUCAUGUAUUCAGUGUCUUCAAGCUGUUUUCAAUUUUAAACCACCACCUCGGGUUGAAGCUCGUACUCAUCUACAACUUGGAAAUAUUCUUCUUACUCACACGAAAAAUAUCGAUUUGGCGCGAUCACAUCUAGAACAAGCGUGGCGUUUAAGUCAAAAUAUAAACACGUUUGAUGAUGUUAAAUUUGAAGCAGCAAGUGUAGUAGCUGAAUUGUACGAACAACAGCAACAACCAAGUUUAAGUAAACCUAUAUUAAGAAAGGCCAUAGAGUUAUCUCAACAUAAUGUUUAUUGGCACUGUAGACUUAUAUUUCAAUUGGCGCAAAUACAUGCAUCUGAAAAAGAUUUCGUUGCGGCAAGUAGUUUGCUCGCCGUUGGUGUUGAUUAUUCGCAUAUUAGUAAUGCAAGUUAUACACGUGUAUUAUUUUUAUUAAGUCGAUGUAUGCUCCUAUUAAUAGACAAGAAAUUUACGGAAGUCCAUGCACUUUUAAAUUCGGCUGGUCACCAUGUUGAAAAUUGGCAAGGAAGCCCACACCAAAAAGAAUACUUAAAAGUAUAUUAUUUGGUGCUCCAAGUUUGUCAUUUUCUUAUGGCUGGUCAGGUAAAUAGUGUGAAACCUUGUUUAAAACAACUGCAACAAAGUAUACAAACGAUCAUGUCUCCUAAUUGGCCAACAGAUGAUGUAGUUACGGGUUCUAAUAUAGGAGAUAUGUUCAUAUGGAUGCCAAAGGAUCAUUUAUAUGUUUUGGUUUAUCUUGUAACUGUUAUGCAUUCAAUGCAAGCUGGUUAUAUGGAUGAAGCACAAAAAUACACAAAUAAGGCUCUUACCCAAAUUGAAAAAUUAAAAAUCGUUGAUAAUAAGCCGAUACUCUCUGUCUUUCAACUCAUGCUAUUAGAACAUAUAGUUAUGUGCCGCCUUGUCAUGGGAAAUAAAAGUGUGGCACUUGCAGAAAUAGCUCAGGCAUGUCAACUUUGUAGGCGGCAACCAAGAUUAUUACAAGGCCAUCGGCCUCAACUGCAUGCUCUUUUGGGAUUAUAUGCGAUGUCUAUGAAUUGUAUGGAAGCUGCUGAGGCUCAGUUUACAGCUGCUCUUAGGACAUCCCAAGAACGAGAACUUUGGACGUUUGCAAAUUUAAAUUUGGCCAUAGUAUAUCUUAGAACAAAAAGAGAUGCUGAGUUGGGUGCAUUAAUGGAAAGAAUAAAUCCAGAGUCUUUACCAUCACAUUCGCAUUCCUUGAGAGCAGCAGCAUACUAUGUUCAAGGUCUCCAAGCUUUUUUUGGAGCUAGACAUAAUGAAGCCAAGAGAUAUCUUAGAGAAACAUUAAUAAUGGCAAGCUCAGAGGAUUUAAACAGGUUAACUUCUUGUAGUCUUGUUUUAUUAGGACAUAUAUUUCUUUCAUUAGGAAAUAGUAGAGAAUCUAUGAAUAUGGUUACACCUGCCAUGCAACUUGCUUCCAAAAUACCAGAUGUACACGUACAACUAUGGGCUACUGCUAUCCUGAAAGAUUUGUAUAGAAUUUGUGGAGAUCCUAAUCGUGAAAGUGAGGCAUAUCAAAUGCAUUGUACAUUUUCUCAAACGCUCUUAAAGGAUCAUUUUCAAAGUACACAAAUGAGUGAACAUGCUCUUAUACAAUGGACAGAUGGCCCUAUACCUGUUUUGCCAAAUGACCCACCACCUUCCACAUCUCAAACAAUUCUUCAAUAAAAUUAAAAAAUACCAAUUUUGCUUAUUUACUUAAAGUAAAUGGUUGUUAAAUUGUGAAAGUAUAUAUAUAUCAGAUUUGCGUGACAGUGCCGUUGAAUGAUCACGCAAAAACGGGAAAAAAACUAAUAGUGCAAAACUUAAUACAUAAAAAUCUGUAUUUUUUUUUUUUUAACAUACCAUGUAUUUGAUACAUAUCAACAUUAUAAAAUUUUACAUGGUGUGAUCAAUAGUUGGCAAGAUGACAAUAAUGUAUUUUGUUGUAAUCUAUUCUGAUAUGUUUAUCAAAGUAGCCAUUAAAAAUAUAGGCUGUGGUGCAAAUGGAUGGUUAAGAUAUAGUCACCGAUGCAUUUUUAUAAAUUGGAACGUAGUUAUACAUGGUAUAACAGUACCUGCAAAAUAUUUUGUAAAAAAUGUUAUAGUACUUAUAGCAUAUAUUAAAUGCGUAUAAGCGCGCAUUUCCUGUGUGGUAGUUUUUGCUUGAUAUGAGUCCAUAUAUGUAUGUAGGGUAAAUAUUACUGCACAUAAUAUGAUAGAAAAUUGAUAUAUAUAUUCGAUUGAUAUAUAUAUAUAUAUAUAUAUAUAUAUAUAUGUAUAUAUAUAUAUGUAUAUAUAUAUAUAUAUAUAUAUGUAUAUAUAUAUGAUAUAUAUCGAUGUGCAAGUAUAAAUUUUUGGAUUAUAGUCAUUCUUUUUACUCAAAAAUUAAAUUAAAAUGUUUAAUCGAUAAUAAUUGCUUUAUAUUUAGAUCAAAUAUGCUAUAGUAUAGAAAUAUGCAAAUGAGUAUUAUAAUAGUACAAUAGAUUAAGGGAGUAGGUUAUUAGAGGCAAGAUUAUAAAUUAAAAAUAAACUUGAUCGAUGCUAAUACAAGCAAUACAUAAAAAACAUAGUAUAUGGGGCCUUAGUAGACUAUAAGAAGUGAUAAAUUUUGCCUAAAACUACUUACUCCAAUAAAUUAAAUGUUUUUCAUGUAUAUAUAUACUCGAAAUUACAAAGUUAUAUAUAAUAUGCUAUAUAAAAAAAAUAUGGUUGAAACCAUGAACUAGUAACAUUAUGUAAAAAUAUUUCUUUGUCUUAAUGUAAUUAAAAUGUAAACAAAUAAGUUGUUUACUAGAAUCGACUUUUA